UCUCCGUUGGUGAACCAGCGGAGGGAUCAUUACAGAGUUGCAAAACUCCCAAACCAUUAUGUGUAUUUACCUGUUUCGUUGCUUCGGCAGGCGGCCCCUGGGAGGGGCCCCUGGGCCUCGCGAGAGGUGCCUGCCGGAGGUUCCAAAACUCAAUGUUAGCAAAUGUUCUGUCUGAGUAAACUUAUAUAAUAAGUCAAAACUUUCAACAACGGAUCUCUUGGUUCUGGCAUCGAUGAAGAACGCAGCGAAAUGCGAUAAGUAAUGUGAAUUGCAGAAUUCAGUGAAUCAUCGAAUCUUUGAACGCACAUUGCGCCUGCUAGUAUUCUAGCAGGCAUGCCUGUUCGAGCGUCAUUUCAACCCUCAAGCCCAGCUUGGUGUUGGGGCGUCUGCGGCUCCGGCCGCAGGCCCUGAAAUACAGUGGCGGGCUCGCUAUAACUCCGAGCGUAGUAAUAUCUCUCGCUUUGGAAGUGUGGCGGGUUUCCAGCCGUAAAAACCCCAAACUCUGAAAUGUUGACCUCGGAUCAGGUAGGAAUACCCGCUGAACUUAA
rnacentral:rRNA from 1 species